GAUGAAGAACGUAGCGAAAUGCGAUAAGUAAUGUGAAUUGCAGAAUUCAGUGAAUCAUCGAAUCUUUGAACGCACAUUGCGCCCCUUGGUAUUCCGAGGGGCAUGCCCGUUCGAGCGUCAUUAUACCCCUCAAGCCUAGCUUGGUGUUGGGGCCUGCUGUUACCGGCAGCCCUUAAAAUCAGUGGCGGUGCCAUCUGGCUCUAAGCGUAGUAAUACUUCUCGCUACAGGGUCCCGGUGGAUGCUUGCCAUCAACCCCUAAUUUUCUAUGGUUGACCUCGGAUCGGGUAGGGAUACCCGCUGAACUUAUGCAUAUCAAUAAGCGGAGGA
rnacentral:misc_RNA from 1 species